rnacentral:lncRNA from 1 species
AUAGUUGUAAAUAGCCAAAAAUGGUCAUAGUCAAAGGUCUUCAGUGGAUCACUAUGUAUGUCUCUGGGAACAUUCGCAAUAUUUGCUAGUGUUGCUUAUUGUUGUCUUCGAAAAUACUGCUUCUGUUUCCUAAAGAAAAGAAGACCUAGAAGGCAUUCAAGGAACUAGAACAACUUGGAGUCGGGAGGGGGGUCCUGGGAAUCCUCAAGCAUCUGUGGACUACACUUUGAGAACCAGAAGUGCGGCAGUAGAGGAGAUCAUCAAAUAAUCCAUUUACCCAUCUAGACCAGCAUCAACUACUGGAUAGCCAUCAGCCCAGCUCUAUAUAAAGUGAAGACAGUAAGGCAGAGAGGUUACACAGCAUGCCCAUGUCACACAGCUUGUGGAAGUACCUGAGCAAGAAUUUGAUUUGGAGGACGCUGACUCCAGAGAGGACCUGUGCUCUGAACCACUCCGCCAUCCUGCCCGUCUGAAUCCUUUAUUCCGAAAGAGCCACCCUGUUGCUGAAUUCUAAAUACAAAGACAGUUCAUGUGCUGUUGUUUUCAAGUG